GCUGCGUCCGGCAAUGGAUUUCUGCCUGGCCGUCUCACAGCCGAACCGCCCCAUCCGGGGCUGAUGAUUCCUACCUUCGG
rnacentral:ncRNA from 2 species